rnacentral:rRNA from 1 species
ACUGAACGCUGGCGGCAGGCCUAACACAUGCAAGUCGAGCGGGGUUUUCGGACCUAGCGGCGGACGGGUGAGUAAUGCGUAGGAAGCUGCCCGAUAGAGGGGGAUACCAGUUGGAAACGACUGUUAAUACCGCAUAAUGUCUACGGACCAAAGUGUGGGACCUUCGGGCCACAUGCUAUCGGAUGCGCCUACGUGGGAUUAGCUAGUUGGUGAGGUAAUGGCUCACCAAGGCGAAGAUCUCUAGCUGGUGUGAGAGGAUGAUCAGCCACACUGGAACUGAGACACGGUCCAGACUCCUACGGGAGGCAGCAGUGGGGAAUAUUGGACAAUGGGCGCAAGCCUGAUCCAGCCAUGCCGCGUGUGUGAAGAAGGCCGUCGGGUUGUAAAGCACUUUCAGCGAGGAGGAAGGUUGGUGUGUUAAUAGCACAUCAUUUUGACGUUACUCGCAGAAGAAGCACCGGCUAACUCUGUGCCAGCCGCCGCGGUAAAAC